UCGCAGUGAUGACGUUUAUUCCUGCCAUUCGUAGUUUCCACCAGAGGUCGCAAGACCAAAGAUGGCCCAAAUCCUUCCUUGGAUGUCUGAGCGA
ensembl:snoRNA SNORD14 Small nucleolar RNA SNORD14